GCGCUGCUAUAUUCUUCUCCAAAAAUGUGUGCACUUAAAGAAACAGUUCAGCCAGUUUGCUGAAAAUGUGAAAACUGCUGAAAAUGUCCUCACCCUCAGGCCAGAUGUAGACAAGUUUGUUUCUUCAUCAGAACAGAUUUGGAGAAAUGUGCAAUUCCAUCACUGGCUCACCAAUGUUUCUUACAAACAUGUAGCUCUUGGCUUCACAAGAUGUUAAUUGAUGGACUGGACUGAACUAGUUAUAAUUACGGAAGACAUUUCCUGGAACAUUUCAUGCAAGACAUACAAAAAAAAGAACAAAUUUGUCACUAGCUCAUAUGCAUUAUAGGGUUAAAAAGAAAAAGAUUAAAGUUUUAAAAUAAUCCAAAACGUAUUCCCAGAAUUAUUUGGAUAACUGAUAUCAUUCAUAAUAUGUACUACGGUUACUUACUUGAUAUUUAUGUUGUUGAUUUCCCUCCAAAAUGAUGUCACUUCCUGGAAGAUGAUGUCAUAUUUUGAAACAUGAAACAUUAGUGAAACAAUUACUUUAAGUGUACCGAAGUACUGAAAUUAUUUUAAAUUCACUUACGAUGUUAUACAGACUGCUUAUUUUAGUUUUUAUACACUUUAUAUUUUUAAACAUAAAAUGCACUUUUUAUUAAGUCCAUUUUAAUAUAAAUUACUUCAAUUAAAAUCUGAUACAAGAUUGUCAUGAUGAAACACAACCUCCUGGUAAAACAAAAUAAAAACAUAACUAUAUAAGUCACUCAUCCACAAUCAUUGUAGGUUAAGACAUUUUUAUAUUUAGAAUGUUUAAUAUUCUAUAUAAAAACUAAGUAUAAUAAUCUAUGAUUUUACUACAUAUAGGCGGCAGCUUCUGCGGACACUUGACCUGCGUGGUGAGCAACAGACUGGGACACAGUUCAGCCACAUACACCGCAGAUACAGCUCUCACGAAGGACAGGAACGUUACUCUUCAUGAGGUUUAGAGCAGGAGUGACCGGAGAGGUUCAGUGACAGUAUGAUGACUGUGUGUGUGUUUCAGAGGCAUAUGGAAGCACAAACAGGAGCACAACUGCUGUCGUAGUGUUUCUGCUGCUGAUACUGAUGCUUGCAGCUGCAUCUCUCGCCUUUAUACUGCGGAGGUACAUUUAAACACAAGUCACCAUUUUUAAUAAUAUUGAGACACAGGUGUGGAUGUAACAGAAGAGAGAGACUGAGAGAGCCGUGUGAAGAGUCUCUGUGAGCUGAUCUCAGGACAGUUUUUUCACAUGACACUCACGACAGCUGAUGGACUGCCAGUCUCUCGAAGCUUUCAGCACACCUUUUUAUUCUAUUGAUCAAUGUAUUAGACUUUUUUUUGUAUGAUAUUAGAUUUCAUAUUUAUUGAACCAAGUUAGACUAGCAUCAUCAAGAGAUUUAGUAAAUGCAAUACUUUCUGAGAUACUUGAUUCUGAUUGGUCAGUUGCUACAUUCUGACUUUAAUAUGAUGACUGUUAAGCUAUAUAAUUGACCACUGUCCCAUAUCAAUAAAUUGUGAACAAUGAAAA